GAUUGGGUCUUGCGCAAUUCAGGGCUGUGAACCCCGUCAGGUCCGGAAGGAAGCAGCGGUAAGCAGUUUACUGGAUGUGCCGCAAGGGUGCCUGAUCCGA
rnacentral:SRP_RNA from 1 species